GAUGAAGAAGCAGCGAAAUGCGAUAAGUAAUGUGAAUUGCAGAAUUCAGUGAAUCAUCGAAUCUUUGAACGCACAUUGCGCCCGCCAGUAUUCUGGCGGGCAUGCCUGUUCGAGCGUCAUUUCAACCAUCAAGCCCCCGGCUUGUGUUGGGGACCUGCGGCUGCCGCAGGCCCUGAAAAGCAGUGGCGGGCUCGCUGUCACACCGAGCGUAGUAGAUUUCAUCUCGCUCAGGGCGUGCUGCGGGUUCCGGCCGUUAAACCACCUUCAUAACCCAAGGUUGACCUCGGAUCAGGUAGGAAGACCCGCUGAACUUAAGCAUAUCAAUAAGCGGAGGA
rnacentral:misc_RNA from 1 species